rnacentral:tRNA from 1 species
GCAUAGAUGACCGAGUGGUUAAGGUGUAAGAUUCGAAAUCUUAUAGAUAUGUAUCUUCGCAGGUUCGAUUCCUGUUCUGUGCG